CCUGAGGAGAGAGGGCAGGGGUCUCACCUGAGCUGCCGGGGCAGAGCCAGCAACAAUCUGACAGCCACUGCCAACACCCGGCACUUGGUGUGCUGAGAGCUCUGUCACCCCACAUUUACUCAAACGUCCCCUUGUUGUUUUUUGUUUGUUUUUUGUUUUUUUCGAGACAGGGUUUCUCUAUAUAGCCCUGGCUAUUCUGGAACUCAACUCUGUAGACCAGGCUGUCCUCGAACUCAGAAAUUCGUCUGCCUCUGCCUCCCAGGUGCUGUUUUUGAUUUUUUGGUCAAACGUUCCCUUAACAUUCUCUCUCAUCCCAGGACCUGUGUACGGACCGACCCCGUCCAGACUGUUCUUGUCCCUACACCCUGUACUGCCCCCCUCCUGGCCUUCCUAGGUCUAUAUGCAGAAGGUCCCUCAGGGCUGACCUCAUGCCACCCUACUACAGAUGCUAUGAUGACUGCCUACCACCUGGCUGGUCCAGCAGUUGCCAGAAAGGAAGGCUGUCAGCUUUGUUUUUGAUCCAGAGAACACACAUGCAGUGGUCACUCAGACCUCACAGCCCUAACUUCAUGCCUUCCCAGGUGGCUCUCCCCAUUAUCUGAGUUAUGGCGGCAAUCACUCACAGGGAGGGAGACUGGCGCGCAGGAGGCUAUUUCAGACGCCAGGCCUGGGAAACUGAUGCCUGGGCACCACUGUCACAGGAGCGUCAGUGGCUUUGCUACUCCAUGCAUGCCUGACAAGCGCUCUAGCGACCCAAGCCGGGGACGGAACCCAGGGUCUCUCUCAGGCAAGCACGAUGCUGGCCGUGCAGGCAACACUCCUCCUCCUCCUGCUUUUGAGACAGGCCUUCCAUGAAGUUGUGUUCCUCCUGCCUCCCAAGGAGCCAUAACAAUAGGCCUGUGACACUUUUCCUUCCUCUUCUAUUUUUGGUUUUCUGAGACAGGGUUUCUCUGUAUACUCCGACUGUCCUGGAACUCACUCUGUAGACCAGGCUGGCCUCGAACUCAGAAAUCUGCCUGCCUCUGCCUCCCAAGUGCUGGGAUUAAAGGCAUGUGCCACCACUGCCCAGCUUUUUUUGGGGGGGGGGCACUUUUCCUUCUGUCUGCUCAGAUUAGGAAGCUGUCUGUCCAGCACAGAGCAGGGACACUGUGUAACUAACCUAAGAAUGGUUGUAGAUGACAACAGCUCACUGGGGAUUUUCUGCACCACACAGACUUUUUUUUUUUUUUCCAGAAUAAAGUCUCCUAUAGCCCAGGGUAGCAUUCAAUUCCCUAUUCAGCUGAAGAUGAGCUGAAUUCCUGAUCCUCUCGCAUCUUGCUCACCAAUGCUGUAAGGAGUUACCGCUUGAGCCAUGAGUCACACCCAGUUCAUGAAGCACUAGGAAAAGCUCCAACAACUGAGCUGGGCCUCAGCCCAUCACCUGGACAUGUCCUCCUGUGUGUGUCAUGUGCAACACACUGAGGAGAACCAAGAGGCCUUCAUGGGGAAGAUGAUGUUUACUUCUGUGAGACAAGUGCUUUUACUAAACCUGGAGCCAGCAAGCCCCAGCCUCCUCCUCUUUGCACACCUAGUGCUGAAGUCCCAGGCACUCACAGCACCCAUGGGUGCGCAGGUGCGUAAGUACUCUUCCCCACAGAGCACUCUCUCCAGGCUCACUGGAGAUCCUUCAUGACUCUUUCUCAUGUUUCUGUCCACUGCACGAACAGAAAGUCCCAGAAAGCAGCUUUGUGGAAUACAAUUCUGAAUUCCCCCGUAGCUCUAGUGCAGAAUGGGGCCAGUCUGAACACUGUAUGAGGAACUGCUGUGUUCAAGCUUUGCUCUGCCUUUGAACACACUGCUUCUCCUCUGCGUUCCCGAUCCCCAUCUGUCUGAGGAAUGAUGAGUGUUACUCUUGGGGAGGGUGGCACAGUUGUGGCCCCAGUUUCCAGCCAAUUCAUGGACUGGCUCCCAGUCAACCUCACCAGGUCUGACUGCCUGAAUGAAGCACAGGCGGAGAGGCUGUGAGCAGGGAGUGUGGAACACUCGCACACACGCGCACGCGCGUGCGCGCGCGCACACACACACACACACACACACACUGCAUACCGAGAGCUCCAGACAGGGAAGGCGGCCUGAAGUCUGUCUUGUUAUAAGAAACAAACCUGGGAUUUUGGGGAUCCCCAAAGGAGCCUCUGUUUCCAGAGGAGGGUAAGUUCCCAGAAGCAACUCUGUGGCCCCUACCCUAUGGUGUCACGAGACAGAAAGCUUCCUGCCAGCAGGCCAGGGCCAAGUAAAUGAGUCACAGACAUCUAGGCUUGCCACAUCUGGAACUGUUUAUGUGUGAUUCUGCCCAGGAUCGGGUGGCUGCCAUCUCUCUCUCUCUCUCUUUCUCUCACACGCACGCACACACACACACACACACACACACACACACACACACACACACACACACGAGCAUACGCAUGCGCUUGCUCGCAAAGUAUGCAACUGCACAAGGACCUCCUUCUGCGGCACGGGCCAUCGACCCAAGCCCUCCUCCAGCCUGCUUUCGGAUUUCCUGAAAAUCUCAACUUUCUCCAGAUGUGAGCAAGUGGCCUUGGCCUUGCCACGUCAGAAGAGUUCAGGGUGCGUGGAUGAACUGAAUGGAGGAUCUUGGGAGGAGCAGACUCCCUGGCCUGUACCAUGGCCACGCUGAGGAACUGAACAGCCAUCCCCGCCAUCCCAGUGUUCAGACUACCUGUUCAGGAGGCUGGGACAUGUACAGUAGUCUGCACAUUGGUUAGGCUGGGCUUGGGCCAGCAGCAACAGUGGGAACUUCCAGACCACCUAAGAUGUACAUGUGUGGGCUGGUGAGAUGGCUCAACAGAUAAGAGCACCCGACUGUUCUUCUGAAGGUCCUGAGUUCAAUUCCCAGCAACCACAUGGUGGCUCACAACCAUCCCUAACAAGAUCUGGCGCCCUCUUCUGGAGUGUCUGAAGACAGCUACAGUGUACUUACAUAUAAUAAAUAAAUAAAUCUUUAAAAAAAAAAAAAAAAAAAAAAAGAUGUACAUGUGUAUGUAUGUCACUGUGUGUGCCUGCCUGCAUGAGCUUAUGUGCACCACACAUGUGAGGUGUGCAUGGAGGCCAGAGGGCACUGGAAGCCUGGAGUAGCAGGUGGUUGUGAGCUACCUGAUGUGGGUUCUGGGAACAGAACCCAGGUCCUCUGCAGAAGGACACAAAUAGCAACACACUUGGUUUCACCACCGGCUGGCUGCUCUGAGAUUCUGCCUACAGCUCAAACCAGCUGAGUUUCAAUUGGGAAACUCAAUUUAAAGUUGUUAAGUGAGCGUACAAGCCAGGGGCCCCAGUGGAGGCUAAGGUAGGAGGAGUCUGUGCCUAGGCUGGGCUACCUCAGGAGUUCAAGUAGCCUAAACAGAGACUAGGGAGCAGCAACAAAGCUUCAGUCAGUUGCUAGAAAGGCAGUGAGUGUUUGGAGGAGAUGGGCUCUUUAUUCUAGACUGGUAAGGACCCACACAGAUGCCCAUUUAGUGCUCUUCUGACACCACUCUCCCAGGGCUCGGCUUUUUAUCUUUAUUUUUUUUGGAGGGCACAGCAUUGUGCACACAGGGAUCUAACUAGUCAUGCAGCUUAGACAGCAAGCACCUUUACCUGCUAAAUCAUCUUACUGGCCUUUUUUUUUUUUUGAGGGAGGGAGGGUCUCCUGUGUUCCUGACUGGCUUCUACUUCAGAUAUAUAACCAAAGAUAACUUUGGACCAAUUGUGCUGUUUCUCUCUCUCUCUUCCAGUGGGCUAUCACACCCCUUUGAUUUGGUGCUAGACUUCAUGCAUGCUAAGCAAGUGCUCUACCAACUGUGCCACGGCAGCAGCCAUCACAGGGUGUUUCCUUUAGGCCCUGUCUAUAAUGAGCCAUCCUGAAGAAGGAUUUAUAAAUGUUAGGAGAGUGUUUUACCACCACGCUGCUCCUGAGCCAGCUUCAAAUCACAGCGCAUCUGACGUCAGACUCGCCUCUGGGAUCUCAUCAGUUCACAUGCACGCACACCCACGUGACAACAUGUGUGUAUGUUAUACAGAUACUCUCACAGCUGCACUCCGAGUUCAAGCCAGCAUCAGCCCAUGUGUGGCUUUCUUUUCUUUCCUCCUUUUUUUUUGAGACAGGAUUUCUCUGUGUAGCCCUGGCUAUCCUUGAACUCAGAGAUCCGCCUGCCUCUGCCUCCCAAGUGCUGGGAUUAAUGAUGUGCACCAACAUGCUUGGCUUAUGUGUGGCUCUGUUUUCAAACAUACUAAUGUAAAAUUAAGAGUAUGGCUGAGGGCUGGAGAGAGGGCCUGAGUUCAAUUCUCAGUUCUCACAUGGUGGCUCCCACCUGUCUCGAACUCUGGUUCCAAGGGAUAGAUGCUCUCUUCUGGCCUCUACAAGCACCUGAUAUGCAUGUAGCACACACACAUUACAUGCAGACAAAAUAUUCAUUCCCAUAUGGGUCUUCUCUGUGUAGCUCUGGCUAUACUGGAACUUGCUCUGUAGACCAUAUACCUACAUAUGGUCCACCUGCUUCUGCCCUCCUGAGUGCUGGGAUCAAAGGUGUGCACCACUAUGCUUGUAUGCUUGGCUAAUAAAUCUUAAAAAAAAAAAAAAAAAAAAAAAGAUGGAACUCAGUACCACACGCACUAAAAGCCCAAUCACCUCUGCAGGUGCCCAGCAUGUGUGUACAUGCCCAUACCUGAGACAGCUGCAUUCUCAAAUCUGGCAGACAGAGAUGCCGCUAUAGUCCACUGCCAACCUCAUUACAGCCCUGUCUGCUAGGAUGCUAAUGGUCCUAGUUUGCAAAGGCUGAAGUCGCUCCAUGGACUGUACUGACUCAGGCAGCUUUCUACCCUAGUUCCUAUUAACAACAGGCCAGGCUGCCUGGCAGAGGGGCUCUGGUUCCGCUGGCAAAGGUUUCUGCUGGCUCAAGGCCAGACACUCCCUGGUCACUGUGUCUUUAGCUCCUCAGUGAUAACCAAGACAAUAUACACAGACCUAGGAGGUUGUUGGGGAGGGCGGGGUGUUGUGCAGAGUCCCUGAAGCUGGCUCUGUAAGGCCUGAACACUGUCUUCCCACAGCUCUGCUGUGAAGCCUGGUAGUGUCCACAGUGGAUCCCAGAGGCUGUGUGCACAGGAAGAGCAGCAGCAGCCUCAGGAGCAGUGAUGGAAACAAGCAGAAGUGUUCAUGGUGUAUUUCGGUGGUGUAUUGUUUUGACUUUCUGUUUGUUUUCUGGGGACAGGGUUUCCCAGAGCCCAGGAUGACCUCUAAUUUAACACACAGCUGAGAAAGACCUUCAACUCCCGAUCCUCCUGCCUCCACCUCCUGAGCAAUCUCAAGUGCACCAUCAGUGUAAGGUUCCUGAGGUGCUGGGAAUAGAACCCAGGGCUAUGUGUAUGACAGAAGCAUUCUGUCCUUGUUUUAUUUUGAGACAGUCUCAUAAUAUAACCCAGUCUGUCCAGCCUUGAAUUCUUGCUCAUCCUAUUUCAGUCUCUCCAUACUGUGAUGACUCCAUACUGUGAUGACAGGCCCCUUCAUCAAAGCCAUAUCUCCUAAGCCAUGGGGUUACAGAGUGUCUAAGAGGUCCAGUACUAAAUGCUGGCUUAAAGUCAAAGGAGCCAGUUUUUUCACCAUGACAGGCCCAAUAUGAACACUUGCAGUAAUUUAGAUUUAAGCACCUGUAAUGAGACCCCAUAAUUAGAUUAUUUUUAUUCUAUAUGUACAAGGCCUACAUAUAUGACUGAUCACACUGUGCGUGCCUAGCGCUUGCAACACUAGGAGUAUGGGAGCUCCUGGAACUGGAGUCAUAGAUGAUUGUGAGUAAACAUGGGAGUGCUGGGAACACAAUCGAGGUCCACUGAGGAGGCAUGGCUCCAGCUCCCCUCCUGAAGGGUUAAUGACAGCUCAGGGUAUGGAAGUGCAAGGCUCCAGAUGCCCUAGCAUUUCUCCAGCAGGUAGGGGCAGCUCUAAAACGAUACAGUAGAUUCACAGUAGAAAAUGUCCCAACAAUGGAGAAAGUCAACCACUGCCACCAUAGGUGACACAUGGCCCUCAACACUGGGUCAGAGUUGGAAAUCACAGUCUCCCCGAAGCACUAUGGAAAGGCCCGGCAAAGAACAGAACACCUUGGUCUUGAGAAAAUGAACAAAGAUUUAGUUGCAUGUAUAGAACAAUCUAAUCUGUAGUUGCACAAAGACAUUAAUGCCACCUGAACAAUCAUGGUGGAAGACUUCUCAAUGCAUUAUGGGGAGGCCAGGAUACAGGUUGGUGGCCACAGAUAGUAAUAAUUCGUUUUUUCCUUUCUCUCUUUUUUUUGGGAAGGUGUGGUAGGCGACACAGUCUCCUGUAGCCCAGGCUGGCCUUGAACUCAGUUAUGUAGUCAAGGGAUGACACCGAGUUUCGGAUCUUCCUAACUCUGCUCCCAAGUUAGGAUGACAAUUGUGCCUCACCACAUCCUGACAGGGUGCUGGAGGUGGAAACUAGGGCUUCGCAUGCUAGGCAAGUGCUAUAUUAGCCGCAUCAUGGUCCUAGGCCUCAGAAUGGAUCUGGAGCUGUUAGGAUGGCUCCGCAGAUAAAGACACUUGCCUUGGAAGCCUGGUGAACUAAGUUCGACCCCCCCACAUCACCCCCAGAACCUCUGCAUAAAGAGAAGGCAAGAACCCUCCUCAGAGAUGUCCUCCAGCCUCCACGUGCAUGCUAUGGAAAACACAGGCGAGAUAAACAGCUGUAAACCACCAAUCAAAGAAAACACAUGGUGGAACUUGUGGCUCUAGCUGCAUAUAUAGCAUAGGAUGGCCUAGUGGGCCAUCAAUGGGAGAAGAGGCCCUUGGUCUUGUGAAGGUUCUAUGCAAAAGUAUAGGGGAAUGCCAGGGCCAGGAAGCAGGAAUGGAUGGGUUGGGGAUCAGGGGGAGGAGGAGGGGAUAGGGGAUUUUCAGAAGAAACUAAGAAAUUUGAAAUGUAAAUAAAGAAAAUAUCUAAAAAAAAAAAAAAACCAAAACCAAAACCAAAACCAAAACCUCACAGUGUAAGCAUGUUUGGUGCACGCCUUUAAUCCCAGCACUUGGAAGGCAGAGGCAGGUAGAUUUCUGAGUUCAAGGCAAGCCUGGUCUAUACACUGAGUUCCAGGAUCACCAGGGCUAUACAGAGAAACCCUGUCUCGAAAAACCAAACAACCAAACAAAAAUAAAUAAAUAAAUAAAUAAAUAAAUAAAUAUCCUUAUCUUAUUCAAAUGCUGAUUUCUGUCCCCAUAUCUGGUGGCAAUCUGGACAUGGUACUGUUGUCUAUUCUAAGUAUCUCUUGUCUCAAUGUUGUGUAUACAGUUGUUGGUUUAUUCUCUGUUUUCUCAAUAAAAGCUGAUCUGCCAAUGGCUGAGCACUGGAGAGUGUAUGGCUGGACUUCUGACCUCAGCCAGGGGAGGGUAAAGAAAGAGAGGAAUCUCUGUGAUGCUCACCAUAGGAACAUAUUGGAACAUAUAGGAACAUAUUGGAGCAGAGAGCCAGACACAAGAUACAAGUACCUUGGAGACUAUGGCUGGGAGGUCGCCAGAUUAGCUUCAAGGAUUAGAACAGAUUAAUAACUACUUAGCUAUUGUGUCAUAUAGCUUGAUUAAGUACAUCUUAGAGUCUCUGACUAAUUUAUUUGGAAGCCAGGUUGAGUUAAAGAAAAAUAUUAUCACUUCACAAAACUAAAUUCUCAAAAUUUGCUAGACAUGAACAAAGAGGAAACAGAGAACUG